GACUGGGCCGGUCGGUUUGGCUCGGGCGCGCGGAACUGGGCCGGUUCGGCCCAUUUGGGCCGGGCCGGUCCGGUUUUCUCCCUUUUUUUUUCUUUUAACCUUUUCUUUUUCUCCUUUUCUCAAUUCUUUGAUAUCUUUUGAUUUUGAACUCCAAAUUGGUCCAAAUAAAUCCCAGAAAAUUUGUAAAAUCAUGUUUUAUCAUGAUUCAACUUUUGGGAGUAAUUUCCCCUCAAAAUAAAAUAUAUAAAAAUACAUUUGCCCUAUAAAUGCCUUUAGGGCUAUAUAACUAUUUAAAUAAAAUAGUUUUUCAACUCCAAAUAUGAUCCUAAAAAUAUGGGAUAGCAUAUUUAUGCAAUAAACCCCUUUUAUACAUAAACCCUAUUGGUUUGAAAAUCCAAAGCUUA
rnacentral:lncRNA from 1 species